AGCAAAGACGACCAGCCGAGGAUGGCUGGCGGAGGCGUGGGGCAGGCCGCAGGACCCUCGAAGGAUCGUGUGAGACCCCGGGCAGCCUCUUGGGAGGCCAUUUCGAGGAGAAAACCUUGAUUUCUGCCUCAGGACCCUGGGCCUCAGUUUUCCUAUCUGAGAAGAAGGGCGAAGAGCUGUGCCCCCGACCACACCCGUCGGUGAUGGGGCAAACCGAGGGCAAGCAGAGGAGCGCUUCACUUUUGGUCAUCCCUUGGGCCACCAGGGCCUUCCCGUCUCCGUCUUCCCAUCGCAGGUCCUGGCCUCCUUCACACCACUCCAGGAUACCGCAGCAUCUCCCCCAGCGCAGCAGACGGAGGGCGCUUCACAUGCCCCCGGACCUAAGCCCACUCUCCCCUUCAAGAUCUGGACUCCACUUUUUUGCAACACUCUUAACUUCUUUGGAAGCUGGGAAGCCUCCUACUCCCUUGGGCCUCUCCACCCUGCCCUCAGCUAACUCGUCGGCAAGCCCCAGCCUAGACAUUGCCUGUUUUGUGAAGACAUCUAGAUGCUGGGCUGUCUGUUGAGUGCCCCACCCUGUGUUUGAGCAGCACCCUCUACUUCCCCUGUUCUACUUGCAUGUUUAUGUGCUCGUCUUCCUCAUUAUAAGAUCCACAGGGGAGGGGCCAUGUCUAUAUUAUUCAUACUUACAGUCCAGUGUCUAGUAUCUGGCACGUAGUAGGCACUCACUAGCUAUUGAGAUAUAAAUAUAGAUAUUUGUUGAAUUGAAAAUGAAUUGGGCCGGGCGUGGUGGCUCACGCCUGUAAUCCCAGAACUUUGGGAGGCCGAGGCAGGUGGAUCACUAGGUCAGGAGUUCGAGACAAGUCUGACCAAAAUGGUGAAACCCAGUCUCUACUAAAAAUACAAAAAUUAGCUGGGCGUGGUGGCACGUGCCUGUAAUCCCAGCUAUUCAGGAGGCUGAGGCGGGAGAAUCGCUUGAACCCCGGGAGGUGGAGGUUGCAGUGAGUCGAGAUUGCACCACUACACUCCAGCCUGGACAACAGAGUGAGACCCUGUCUCAAAAAAAAAAAAAAAAAAAGAGAAAAAGAAUAAAAUUAAAAAAAAGAAAAUAAAGGAACCUCAUUCACAUACACCUCCAAAACUCUGAUUUCCUAAAGUUGGGCAUUUCUCAUUGCUGGAGGUGUUCAGUUAGAGGCAUGCCGCCCCCUUGAAGAAAUGUUUAUUUCAUUUGUACAGUGGGUUGGGAUUUUACCUGAAUGCUUUGAGUACCCUUUUAAUCCUAUGAUGCUAGAGAUUGAUAGACCCAUGCCUAUUAUUCCUGUCAGUUCUCCCUGAAAUGUCAUCAGUUCUUCAUGUUCCGCUAUUUCUAGCUGUUGGCCCUACUCGUUUCUGUGCCUAAAUGCCCUACCUCCCACUCCUUUUCUGAGAAAGAUCUUCUGCCCUGUCAGUUAUGAAGUAAAGAUGUCCUAAGAUUCCUGCUCUUUCUUUUUUCUUUCUUUCUUUCUCUCUCUUUUUUUUUUUUUUCGACGGAGUUUCGCUCUUGUUGCCUGGAGUGCAAUGGCUGGAGUGCAAUGGCGCGAUCUCAGCUCACUGCAGCCUCUGCCACCUAGGCCCACCUUGGUCUCCCCAAGUGCUGGCAUUACAGGUGUGAGCCACUGUGCCCGGCCUCCUGCUCUUCUUUCAACCCUCUGCUCAGCAUCUUAGGCCUCAUUGGUGAUGUCCCACCUUGCUAGGUAGCAUCUUUCCUGAAUAUUUCUCCACUAAACAUUCUGAUGUUGGCUAGAUGGCCUAGUUAAUCUACACAUUUCAUUUUAUCACCUUCUCCAGAUGUUUUUUUGUGUAUGUCAGCUGAUACACUCUGGGGAGAAUGCCUUAAUAUAUGGGAAUAAUUAACUCAUGGCCAAGAAGGAAAUAACCAAGGGGACUUUUACUCUGGACCUAAUUCAAACCAAAGAGACAGAGCCUGAGAGAAAGCAGCUCUGUCAUCCUUGAGUUAGUAACAUCCAGGAAGGGAAGGCUAGGGUGGGGGAGUGAGUAAAACAGAUGGCAUUUAGGGAAGAACCAACAGGACUUUAAGAGGCAUGGCAGAGGGGCUUUGAUCCUGGCUAAACCAUCAGGGAAGGCAAUUGGAGCUGGGUGAACAGAUGGGGUCUUAUUACUGAAGAGAAAACGGUAAGGAGGCAGGGGGAAAUGGGACGUGUGCUAAAGCAGAGUGCCUCAUUCAGUGGAUGCAGUGAGAGCAGAGGCUGUUGGAAAAGUGGAUCAGGGAGGACCAUGCCACCAGGUGGGCAUCAGCAGAGUAUCACCCGAGUAUUGCAGAGGGAUACCAAAUAAGUCCACCUGAAGCCAGAGCUGAAACCCUGUGGAGGUCCGUUUACCCCUUCAGAAGUAGUGUACCACCAUCCAUCUACCACUGGAAUCCAAUUUCAGUUUUGGCAAAUUGUUAUAAAUAGGAAAAAGUCAGGGUUCCACAAUUCUGGCAGCACCCAGAGACUAUAACAGCAUCUGCACAGCCAAGUAGAGUUAGGAAACCUGGAUCCUAAUCCUGACUUUGCCUCUGAUUAGAUGUGUGAUCCUGGGCUGGAGCUGUUUUUUCAGUUGUAAAAUGCUGUUUAUUGGUGUUAGGUAGCAGCUAAUAAGGCUGGAGGUGGGGCUGGGUGUAGUGGCUCACACAUGUAAUCUCAGCAGUUUGACAGGCCAAGGCAGGAGGAUUGCUGGAGGCCAGGGAUUUGAGACCAGCUUGGGCUACAUAGUGAGACUCUGCCUGUACUAAAAAUUAAAAAAAAAAAAAAUAACUCAGUGCAGUGGCGCAUGCCUGUAGUCCCAGCUACUCAGGAGGUUGGGGUGGGAGGGUUGCUUGAGCCCAGGAGUUUGAGGCUGCAGUGAACUAUGAUCAAUCACACCACUGCAUUCUAGUAGCCUGAGUGACAGAGCAAGACCUGUCUCUAAAAAAAAAGAAAUUUUUUUUAAGGGUGGAGGUAGGGAAAUUCAAAGCUACUUACUAGCUGUGUGACCUUGCCUAAACUACCUCCUUGGAUUUGCAGUCUGUUUAUUUGAAAAUGUCAUAAGGGAUAAAUGAGAUUCCUUAUGUAAAGUACUUUAUAAAUAUUAAGCACUUACCAAAUGUUAGUCUGUUUUCACAUUAUUCUUCUUGGAUUACCAGAAAUUGGUUUGACCAUGAAUAAACAGGAGAUAAUUUCUUGGGUAA